rnacentral:rRNA from 1 species
UACGUAGGAUGCGAGCGUUGUCCGGAAUCACUGGGUGUAAAGGGAGCGCAGGCGGUUUAGCAAGUCAUUGGUGAAAUUCUCGGGCUCAACCCGGGGGCUGCCAAUGAUACUGCUGAUCUUGAGUGUGGAAGAGGUAGAUGGAAUUCCUGGUGUAGCGGUGAAAUGCGUAGAUAUCAGGAAGAACACCGAUGGCGAAGGCAGUCUACUGGUCCAUUACUGACGCUCAUGCUCGAAAGCGUGGGGAGCAAAC